UUUAAUUGAAGAGUUUGAUCAUGGCUCAGAUUGAACGCUGGCGGCAGGCCUAACACAUGCAAGUCGAGCGGCAGCAC
rnacentral:rRNA from 2 species